rnacentral:lncRNA from 1 species
AUUCCACCAUCCAGCUCUCAGGAGUAUUUAGGUUCAAGGUGAAUAGUGGAGACUGAGGCAUAUCCAAAAACUUGGCGAUUGGUCCAGAAGCAAAGCUGUUAUCUGCUGUGAAAGAAGUUUCCAUCUCCAAAACGUAGCGAUAAAAGCUUUUUAGAGGCAUGUCAGAAAGUUUUGACUGGCAGUUCAUAAACACCCUUAGGUUCAUGUUUAUCAAUUGGUUCAAGACCAAAAGUAAGGGAGCAAGUCUUUGAGCAUCUCUGGUAACAGGAUCAACAAUGGCCACAACAUCAAAAUAUGUCUCCCCCUCUUUUGGUCUUAGUUUAACUGCACUGUAUCGUUCUUCGAAAAAUUGAUAUUCAAUUCUUGCCUCUCCUUUUGGUUGAGCAGAAAGAAGAGCAUCCACUUUCAUUACCAAGUCACUAGCAAGAUCUUCUUCAAAUCCCAGCUGCUGAAUUUGAGAUUUGAUUUUCUGUCCUGAUGUCUUUAGGAUGAUAUUCUCAAGGAGGUGGAAGUCAUCCUGAUUGAACAUCUCGCCAUCCUCUAAUGGGCCAAUUAUCCUUCCAUUGCUGAUCACAGCCCUCUGCCCCUUCUUCAGCUUGAGAACAUCUCUACAAUAUAUAGCAUGGGACAGAAUGAAAUCCACCUUGGGAGAUUCAAAGGCUUCCUUAAAAAUAUUGGUAUCCAUACCCUGAAA